GAUGAACGCUGGCGGCGUGCCUAAUACAUGCAAGUCGAGCGAACAGACGAGGAGCUUGCUCCUCUGACGUUAGCGGCGGACGGGUGAGUAACACGUGGAUAACCUACCUAUAAGACUGGGAUAACUUCGGGAAACCGGAGCUAAUACCGGAUAAUAUAUUGAACCGCAUGGUUCAAUAGUGAAAGACGGUUUUGCUGUCACUUAUAGAUGGAUCCGCGCCGCAUUAGCUAGUUGGUAAGGUAACGGCUUACCAAGGCAACGAUGCGUAGCCGACCUGAGAGGGUGAGAGGGAAGAGUGGAAGUGAGUCGCGGGAGAGACACUGGCGGGCGGCAGCAGCACGUAGUCUGACGGGAUGCGCUAAAGAUGGAUGGAGGAAAUGGGGAGGAAACAGGAAGGUCUAAGGAGGGUAGAAAUCUGUAAGUCGGGCAGAACAAAAGCGUAAGUAACUAUGCAGAGCUGGACGGGAACUAAUCAGAAAGCCACGGCUAACGUGGUC
rnacentral:rRNA from 1 species